AGUGAACGCUGGCGGCAGGCCUAACACAUGCAAGUCGAGCGGCAGCGCGGGGGCAACCCUGGCGGCGAGCGGCGGACGGGUGAGGAAUUCGUCGGAAUCUGCCUUUUUGUGGGGGAUAACGUAGGGAAACUUACGCUAAUACCGCAUACGUCCUACGGGAGAAAGUGGGGGACCGCAAGGCCUCACGCAGAAAGAUGAGCCGACGACCGAUUAGCUAGUUGGUGGGGUAAAGGCCCACCAAGGCGACGAUCGGUAGCUGGUCUGAGAGGAUGAUCAGCCACACUGGGACGGAGACACGGCCCAGACUCCUACGGGAGGCAGCAGAGGGGAAUAUUGGACAAUGGGCGCAAGCCUGAUCCAGCCAUGCCGCGUGUGUGAAGAAGGCCUUCGGGUUGUAAAGAACUUUUGUCCGGAAAGAAAUCCCUGGAGCUAAUACCUUCGGGGGAUGACGGUACCGGAAGAAUAAGCACCGGCUAACUUCGUG
rnacentral:rRNA from 1 species